UUCAAACGCCCAAGCGUAUAAAAUAACGCCAAUAAAUCAAAACCAUUAUUGAGCGAAAAAAAUGAAUGAUAUCAUAAUGGAAGAAAGAAACAUUUACCAUGAAAGCCCAUGGGAAGCCAUAUAAGUUGACUGUCUUUGGCGCUAACGGAGUCAACAAAUAUUCGACAGUCAUUUUGAAGCUUUCAUACCCCCAUGGAUAGCUAUUAAACGCCUCA
rnacentral:lncRNA from 1 species